UUCCGGUUGAUCCUGCCGGACCUGACUGCUAUCGGAUUGGUACUAAGCCAUGCGAGUCAUUGUAGCAAUACAAGGCAGACGGCUCAGUAACACGUAGUCAACCUAACUCGUGGACGUGGAUAACCUCGGGAAACUGAGAAUAAACCGCGAUAGAUCAUAGUGCCUGGAAUGGCUUAUGGUCAAAACAGUUUACUGCCAUGGGAUGGGACUGCGGCCUAUCAGCUUGUUGGUGAGGUAAUGGCCCACCAAGGCGAUUACAGGUACGGGCUCUGAGAGGAGAAGCCCGGAGAUGGGUACUGAGACACGGACCCAGGCCCUAUGGGGCGCAGCAGGCGAGAAACCUUAGCAAUGUGCGAAAGCACGACUGGGUCAGUCCGAGUGAUUCCUGAUAAAGGAGUCUUUUGCUUGUCCUAAAAGCACAGGUGAAUAAGGGGUGGGCAAGUCUGGUGUCAGCCGCCGCGGUAAUACCAGCACCUCGAGUGGUCAGGACGUUUAUUGGGCCUAAAGCAUCCGUAGCCGGCUCUGCAAGUCUUCGGUUAAAUCCACCUGCUCAACAGAUGGGCCGCUGGAGAUACUACAGAGCUAGGGAGUGGGAGAGGCAGACGGUAUUCAGUGGGUAGGGGUAAAAUCCUCUGAUCCAUUGAGGACCACCAGUGGCGAAGGCGGUCUGCCAGAACACGUUCGACGGUGAGGGAUGAAAGCUGGGGGAGCAAACCGGAUUAGAUACCCGGGUAGUCCCAGCUGUAAACGAUGCAAACUCGGUGAUGCAUUGGCUUAUGGCCAAUGCAGUGCCGCAGGGAAGCCGUUAAGUUUGCCGCCUGGGAAGUACGGACGCAAGUCUGAAACUUAAAGGAAUUGGCGGGGGAGCACCACAAGGGGUGAAGCCUGCGGUUCAAUUGGAUUCAACGCCGGAA
rnacentral:rRNA from 1 species